rnacentral:rRNA from 1 species
UACGGAGGGUGCAAGCGUUAAUCGGAAUCACUGGGCGUAAAGCGCACGUAGGCGGCCCGUUAAGUCAGAUGUGAAACCCCUGGGCUCAACCUGGGACUGGCAUUUGAUACUGGCGAGCUCGAGUCCGAUAGAGGGGGGUGGAAUUCCAGGUGUAGCGGUGAAAUGCGUAGAUAUCUGGAGGAACACCGGUGGCGAAGGCGGCCCCCUGGAUCGACACUGACGCUGAGGUGCGAAAGCGUGGGGAGCAAACAGG